rfam:Trachymyrmex septentrionalis contig36780, whole genome shotgun sequence.
GUCUCGGUAAUCUAAAGGCUUAGGACGCUCGCACGGAAUGCAAGAGAUCCGGGUUCGACUCCCGGCCGAGGCA